rnacentral:rRNA from 1 species
AGAGUUUGAUCCUGGCUCAGGAUGAACGCUAGCGGCAGGCUUAACACAUGCAAGUCGAGGGGCAGCGGGGUGUAGCAAUACAUCGCCGGCGACCGGCGCACGGGUGCGUAACACGUAUGGAAUCUGCCCUGUACUGGGGGAUAGCCCUCCGAAAGGAGGAUUAAUACCCCAUAACAACUUGAGUGGCAUCACUUGGGUUUGAAAGCUCCGGCGGUACAGGAUGACCAUGCGCCCGAUUAGCUAGUAGGUGAGGUAACGGCUCACCUAGGCUACGAUCGGUAGGGGGCCUGAGAGGGUUAUCCCCCACACUGGUACUGAGACACGGACCAGACUCCUACGGGAGGCAGCAGUGAGGAAUAUUGCGCAAUGGAGGCAACUCUGACGCAGCCAUGCCGCGUGCAGGAAGAAGGCGCUACGCGUUGUAAACUGCUUUUAACCGGGAAGAAACCCCAGGACGUGUCCUGGGUUGACGGUACCGGAGGAAUAAGCACCGGCUAACUUCGUGCCAGCAGCCGCGGUAAUACGAAGGGUGCAAGCGUUAUCCGGAUUCAUUGGGUUUAAAGGGUGCGUAGGCGGGGUGGUAAGUCAGUGGUGAAAUCCUGCGGCUCAACCGUAGAAUUGCCAUUGAUACUGCCAUUCUUGAGUAGGCUCGACGUGGGCGGAAUGUGCCGUGUAGCGGUGAAAUGCUUAGAUAUGGCACAGAACACCGAUAGUGAAGACAGCUCACGAGGGCCAAACUGACGCUGAGGCACGAAAGCGUGGGGAUCGAACAGGAUUAGAUACCCUGGUAGUCCACGCUGUAAACGAUGAUCACUCGAGAUCGGCGAUAUACGGUCGGUCUCCUAGCGAAAGCGUUAAGUGAUCCACCUGGGGAGUACGACCGCAAGGUUGAAACUCAAAGGAAUUGAC